rnacentral:rRNA from 1 species
UACAGAGGGGGCAAGCGUUAUUCGGAAUUAUUGGGCGUAAAGGGCGCGUAGGCGGUCGUGCAAGUGGAAGGUGAAAUCCCUCGGCUCAACCGAGGAACUGCCUUUCAAACUGCAUGACUUGAGUCCGGGAGAGGUGAGUGGAAUUCCCAGUGUAGCGGUGAAAUGCAUAGAUAUUGGGAGGAACACCAGUGGCGAAGGCGGCUCACUGGACCGGAACUGACGCUGAGGCGCGAAAGCGUGGGGAGCAAACGGG